GGGGAGAGAGAGAGGAACGUUGCUGAGUUGGGAAGAGUCAGCUGAGCAAUCAAGUAAGUGUUAGCUGGCGCUGGCGGCGACUCGGAGAAAUAGUUCCGAUUUAAUACAAGAAACCUUGAGGAGGAAAGCCAAUAACCAACGUCCGCCCUAAACUUGUUUCGAUCUGCACGGUCAGAAGAGAGUGUGGAAGGAGGCGGGGGUUCCCAGCUCGCUCGAGUUCUCCGUCGCCCAGGAGGAACGGGAAGCGACAGGAUAAAAGAGGGGCCAUUGGAGGAGAGCUCGAAAUCUGGCAGCCUUUUUGACCGAGCCUGCAAUUCUCAGAACAAGCACUUUCACCUUCACAUCUAGCAGCACCAAACCAUUUGAUUUGCAAGUCCAUCAGACUGCAAAUCAAGUCCAACUGCUAUUCACGGCUUUUGAGUACUAAGAAACAGUAGAUGUAAUUUUGAAGAAGCACUGUUGGUGAAAUGGCUUUAGCUGGCUGCCCAGAUUCAUUUUUGCAUCAUCCAUAUAGGAUAGUAAGUUAUCACUUAAUUAAAUUCUGUAUACUUCAACUGAAUAUUCUCUCAGCAGGCUGUUUUGCUUAGGGCAGUGUUUCUCAGUAUGGGCUAGUUUAAGGUGUUUCAGCUUCAACUUCUGGAA